rnacentral:rRNA from 1 species
ACGCACGCUGGCGGCGUGCCUAAUACAUGCAAGUAGAACGCUGAAGGAGGAGCUUGCUUCUCCGGAUGAGUUGCGAACGGGUGAGUAACGCGUAGGUAACCUGCCUGGUAGCGGGGGAUAACUAUUGGAAACGAUAGCUAAUACCGCAUAACUGUAGAUAUUGCAUGAUAUCUGCUUGAAAGGUGCAAUUGCAUCACUACCAGAUGGACCUGCGUUGUAUUAGCUAGUUGGUGAGGUAACGGCUCACCAAGGCGACGAUACAUAGCCGACCUGAGAGGGUGAUCGGCCACACUGGGACUGAGACACGGCCCAGACUCCUACGGGAGGCAGCAGUAGGGAAUCUUCGGCAAUGGACGGAAGUCUGACCGAGCAACGCCGCGUGAGUGAAGAAGGUUUUCGGAUCGUAAAGCUCUGUUGUAAGAGAAGAACGAGUGUGAGAGUGGAAAGUUCACACUGUGACGGUAUCUUACCAGAAAGGGCGGCUAACUACGUG